UGAAGGGAGCAUCUAUUCCCCAAAAGACCCCAGAGAAGCAGAAGCUGAAGAUACCUGAGUGGCUGAGGAAGAAGAUGCUGCAGCAGAAGCCUCAGGCCUCUCCUGUACAGGGUGCUCCCAUGCCUUCCAAGGCCCCACAGGAAGUACCUUUACCCGACAGGGACCCUGUGCAAGCUGGGAACCCACAAGGAGCAGGAGUGUCUGUCAGGUCUCCACCAGCAGAGUCAGUACCCAUGCCAGCCUCCAAAGGGAGCAGCAGUGCUCUGCAAAACCCUUACAACAAGAAACAGAAGCUUGCUGAGCCUGUCUCUGCCACCCAGGGAUCACCCCUGCCCUCCAAGACCUCAAAAGUGGUGCCUGUGUAUUCUGGGACCCUAGAUGUGACCAAAAGUUCCCCAUAACAGGGAACAAAUCCCAGAAUCAUAGGGCAGCAGAAAGCAUCGGACAAUGUUGUGUGUGAAAAAUCAAGUUCCUCAGCCCAGGUCCCAGCUCACCCUGAAGAUGGACCAUGCAGGUGUGGGCCAGUGGUCACCUCCAGAAAAAAAGGAGCACAUGGCAGACAAAAUCAAAGGCCAGCAGUUGGGACCAAGCGGCUUAAAGCAUUUAUGUAGCAUAUUCAUAUGCUUAAUGGAAUAUUUGUAAAUUUCAGACAAUAAAAAAUC